UGCUUCCAGUUUUUUUCGAAGAUCUUAGAUCAUCUUUACUAUUAUCAUUCUAGUCUUUUUCAUGGAGGUUGCUAAUUUCCAGCUCACUUAACUGUUCUUCUGGGGUUUUGUCCUGUUUCUUCAUCUGGCUCAUAUUUUUCUGUUUCACUUUGUAUAGCUUUUUGUGUCAUCUCUUUUUUGCAGGCUAUAAGGCUGUAGCCUCUCUUGUUUCUGGUGUCCACCCCCUGGUAGGUGAAAUUAAUACAGGGGCUUGCAGCUGACUUCCUGAUUGGUGCCUGCCCACUGGUAGGUGGGCUGAGUCUUUUUUCUGGUUGGUGUGGCUCGGGCCCUGGGUCUAAUUAGAGGCAGCUGUGUCCCUAGGCCAACUUAAGACAGCCUAUUUGCUGAUGGGUGGGGCUUUGCGCCCACCCUGUUUGUUGUUAGGCCUGGGGCUUCUCAGCCCUGAUGGCUGGGGCCAGAUUUUUUCCAAACCUCAGCUUCCUGAAGAGCUCACGCUGGUGAUUAUUUCUGAAACCUCCGCCUCCAAUGUCCUGUCCCCAAAGCGGGCCACAGCCACCCUCUGCUUUCCCAGGAGACCCUCCAAGACUCGCAGAGUAAGGGAAAGCAGCCCUUCAAGAACCAGGUGAUAUUCCCUGGAUUCCUGCACAAAAGUACUCAUCAGUCUUACUGUGACAAGUAACCUUCACAUUUUAGCACCUGAACCUAAUAGAUUUCUAGAGUUGAGAUCUCUACUGCGAAGAUUGGGGAAAAAUUAACUCAGAAGAGUUGUUGCCAGAACAGAGACCUACCUGCUUUGAAGGCUUUUGCCCAGCACAAUGUUUACACUGAGAUUACUGCCUGCUGAUGAUGCUGAUUGAAAGUACAGACUAUGCGCUGAUCCUGAAAUCCUGGAGUUGUUUGUGGUCAAGGCCAUUGGAUACAAUGAACAUUCAAGUUUGGACUCUUAAGUAUAUCUUCUUUUUAUUAGUCGCAAACUAUAAACUUGAAAUAUUAUGUUAAAAACGGUGUUUGAGUAAACCAUUUUUUGCAGAUUAUCCUGAUCAGUAAGAUAUACUGAAUAAAAGGAAUUAUUUCUUUUCUUAGGCAGGCCUAAGUAGCCAAAUUAGAUACUUGUCUUUUAUGGGAGAUUACAUAAAAUAGAGUGUAGAAUAUAUUUGAUUACCAUUUAAAAAUUCUUCACUUUAUAUUACUGUUGAAAUUAAUUGAAUAAGCUCAUAAAAUAUCACAUCAACAAUAAAUAAUUUUAAUAAAAU